GAGGGGAGAUGGAACCCUGAGCAGCCCAUGUACAUGGAAGAUCUUUAUUGCAGAGAUCUUCAAACCAGAGAUAUACAAGAAUCCCUGUGGAAAACCUCAUGAACUCAAGGUCAUGCAGAGACUUAGGGAAGAACUGGGACUGGCUUAUCAAGACUCUACACUACUGACCCAGGGCUUGGCAGUUUCUGUCCUAGAAAUCAGAACACGCAGCUCAUGCAUCACCGAGAAGGUGGUCAGCCUAAGAAGUGGUUCCCCACUCUUUGUUCUAAGAUAUUCCUCUCUCAGAAACCACGUCUGUUUUCAACUUUUUUUUUUUUUAGACAGUCUCACUCUUGUCACCCAGGCUGGAGUACAGUGGUGCAAUCUUGGCUCACUGCAACCUCUGCCUCCCGGGUUCAAGCGAUUCUUCUGCCUCAGCCUCCCAGGUAGCUGAGACUACAGGCGUGUGCCACCAUGCCCAGCUAGUUUCUUGUAUUUUAUUAGUAGAGAUGGGGUUUCACCAUGUUGUCCAGUAUGGUCUCAAACUGCUGAGCUCAGGCAGUCCCCCCGCC
rnacentral:lncRNA from 10 species